AUGGGUCACGGUGAGAGGAGACUGGCCCGGCCAGGGAUGUGCCCGGGCUGCUGGCACCGAACAGCCUCCAGCAAGGCCCCAUCGGUCUAUCCUCCGACUGCUGGAUGCUGGGACACGCCUGGCUCCACGGUGGCCUUCGGCUGCCUGGUCUGGGGUUACAUCCCUGAGCCGGUGAUGGUGACCUGGAACUCGGGCGCCCUGUCCAGCGGCAUCCACACCUUCCCGUCCAUUCUCAUGUCCUCGGGUCUCUACUCCCUCAGCAGCUUGGCGACCAUGCCCGCCAGCAGCUCGGCCGGCAAGACAUUCAUCUGCAACGUAGCCCACCCGGCCAGCAGCACCAAGGCGGACAAGCGUGUGGACCCCAGCUCCCAGUGUCCCAAAUGCCCAGCCCCUGAGCUCCUUGGAGGGCCCACGGUCUUCAUCUUCCCCCCAAAACCCAAGGACGUCCUCUCCAGCACCCGAACACCUGAGGUCACGUGCCUUGUGGUGGACGUGGGUAAGGAAGACCCUGAGAUUGAGUUCAGCUUGUCCGUGGAUGACACAGAGGUACACACGGCUGAGACAAAGCCAAAGGAGGAACAGUUCAACAGCACGUACCGCGUGGUCAGCGUCCUGCCCAUCCAGCACCAGGACUGGCUGACGGGGAAGGAGUUCAAGUGCAAGGUCAACAACAAAGCUCUCCCGGCCCCCAUCGAGAGGACCAUCUCCAAGGCCAAAGGGCAGGCCCGGGAGCCGCAGGUGUACACCCUGGCCCCACACCAGGAAGACCUGGCCAAGGACACCGUGAGCCUAACCUGCCUGAUCAAAGGCUUCUACCCACCUGACAUCAACGCUGAGUGGCAGAGGAACGGGCGGCCGGAGGCAGAGGGCGCCUACGCCACCACGCUGCCCCAGCCGGACAACGCCGGGACCUACAUCCUCUACAGCAAGCUCUCGGUGGGAAAGAACACGUGGCAGCGGGGAGAAGUCUUCACCUGUGUGGCGAUGCACUAGGCUCUACACAGAUCACUCCACCCAGAAAUCCAUCUCCCAGUCUCCGGGUAAAUGAGCCUCAC